GCCUGGGUGGCUCAGUUGGUUGAGCGUCAGACUCCGGCUCAGGUCAUGAUCUCACAGCUCGUGAGUUCGAGCCCCAUGUCAGGCU
rnacentral:tRNA from 1 species